AAACUUGAUAUGCAUCCAACCCAAAAGCCAAAUCUCUUUAGAAGGGAAGUUAACCAUCGGUGGACUCAAGAACACGAGCUAUGCAAGUGUGUUAUUUUUCUUAUUUUUUCGACUGUAUUAUAAACGUUAAGAGCCACAGUUCCCAACAGUCCAAAAGCUUCUAAAACAAAGCGGCUGGCGGGAGAUGAACCCAAAGACAGAUGUACACGAUGAUGUCCAAUUUAGGAAAAAAGGAAGACCUUUUUGCAUCUCUGUCGGUGCGCCUCGAUUUAAUAGCCCACAUUUCCUUCUCUUUCCACUUUCUUCUGUUUCCAUGGCUUCCCAGUUGUCUUCGCAACUUCUACAGCUUUCUUACUACUCGUAGGUCUUAAGCUCUUGUUCAUCUGUGAUCAUCUGUGAUCAAUUAAAAGAAUUAAUGUUAUUUACAUGUUUAUCAGCUGCUUGAUAUUAUUCUUCUGGAGAUUUUAGACCCUCAAGUACUUCAUGACCCGAACAAUCAGUUGGACUAGACAGUAGAGGAAGGGCUACGGCAAAUGCAUCUCACCCAUUAAGUUUCGAUGCCAAGGAUCAAGGAAUUUAUGGCCUUCCAAAGAAAAAUUCCACAGUCGGAUAUUUUUCUAGAUAUUAUACAUCAUCGCGAUGGAUUUCCUCACGGGUGUUAUCAUCUAUGGCUUCUUCUACUCAUUCUGGUCAAUUUAGUUGGGAGAAUGGUGCUCCUGUUGCUAAAUUUCAAAGACUUGAGAUGGAAUUUAGUCGGGUUAAUCGUCUUGUGUAGGUAUUGCAUGAAUCUGCAAGGAGCUUUUCCCAUGCAGUUGAGAACCUUAGAUUGUCAGGAACUGGUCCAGCGCUUGCAAUGGCAUGGGUUGGGAAGGAUGUCCAUUACUGGCAUAAACGUAUUGCUUAUCAGGUAGUAGUUUACGUUUUGAUGAAAAUGGCGGUUGAAGUGGAGAUCUUGCUUUCUAGUGAACGCCGCAACGACACUUCCCUGGCUAGAGAGAUUUUGUCCCCCAAGGUAAACAUGGUUGGGGAGCAUAUUGAAAAUCAGUUGAGCAUGAGGCAAUGAGGCAAUCGGGAUUGGAAGAAUGGUUUAAAGAGGUUGAACUGCCACGUAUAGCUGGAUUUUUUCUUCCUAUGUUAAAGAGCUGAUCAAUGGAAUAUGCAGGAAGUGGUGUUGCAGGGAUCAUUGUGGCUAUAAGUUGCUGUGCUGCAGUAAGGAAAUUGGGUUCUAAGCGCACUUGCUGUCACUUGUUUACAUUUUCAAUUGAGGAUGUAUUGGUGCAGCUCAUGGAUCUUUCACACGGUCUUGUUUCAGUGGACAAAUUACAUCACUUGGCCACUGAAGCAGGUUUUGAACUGGACUUUCUGACUCAUUUUGGUACAGAGGUUUUCUCUGGCAACGCAAGUGAAGAGCUGGAAUUCUGGAUUGGAUUGGCUCAGAAAAAACUCUCAGUGGCAUUCCACAAAGAGGCAGCCAAAUUUUUCACGACAAGGUUCAAGCAGAUAGUUUGGCUACUUUAGGGCUCUUUGCAUAUCUUGGAAAGAGGACCAGAAUAUUCUUGUCAGGAAAGAGCAUUAAUGAUCUGGAUGACCAUGUCAAAGACUUCCUGAGGUAGGUGAUUUUGCCUUUUCAUUACGUUCUAAAAAUCUGGUCCUUAAAAUUGGGACACUUGGGAGGUCCAGUGCUUUGCCUGCAGCUACUUGGAACGCGGUAGCCUUUUCAUUUUCCCAGAGCUGUCUUCUAUUUUAGUGUAUCAGCUCUUCAUGGAGGUAGUAACUGAUGAAAUUGGAUGGCUUGAUUUUUAUGCUCCAUUUGCUUGCAUAAACAAUCAAGAGAGGAGAAGGUCCAAACAUUGUACAAUCCAAGCAGAGAGAGAUUAUUCUAACUACUGUAUUUACCGUAUGCUAUGAUAUUUUCUCUGGGUUUGCUCAUUUCAGCCGUUCCACGCUAAAGCCCUUAGAUGCAGAUUUGCUAGAAUUCUUGCUUCGGAGUCAAAGCCUGCUAACUAUUUGUUUGGAAGACUACUGGGCUGCUUAUGAUAAAUCAGGGCCACCAGACUAGCUAGGAUGUCUACGACCACCUUUGUGGUGGGGCAGAUCUGCUACUAAGUCAAUUCCUCGGCAUGAGAUUUUAAUUAGGAAAUACAUUGUCAAGUUGGCAUCUACAAGUUCUGAUAUAUGGAUGGGUAUGCGGUUGCUUUUCACAGACUUCAUGGUGGCUCUGGAGCUACUCCUAAAUCAAUUGCGAGGUCACAGGGUCACAGAGAGGGAAACAAAGAAGUUAAAAAGAACUCUAAAUGACAUAGCAUCACUCAUCCCGGUUACAAUUCUAAUGCUACUUCCUGUAUCUGCUAUAGGUCAUGCAGCUAUGCUAGCGGCAAUAAAAAAGUACAUGCCAUACUUGCUUCCUUCUCCAUAUUCUCCGAGCGGCUGGAUGUCAUGAAACAACUACAGAGAACUAAAAAGAUGGAAGUUCAGGCAUGGAGCAUCCUUGAAGACACAUCCUCUAAAAUAUCUUGAAGAUAACUAUUUCGUGCAAUCCUGUUGUCUCUCUUCUGUGAAUUACUACAAUGUGAGUUGUAACCUUGUGGGGCAAUUGGUGCUUUGGUGGAUGCAAACGCAUACAGAUGACAGUGAGACAAACAAUGUAAUCUAGUCUUGUGAGGAUCCAUAACUUAAUAAAUGUAUUCACUGUCGACCUUUGGUUGCAUGCAAAUGAAGUUUGGGGAUGCAUCAGAACCAUAUGUGAUUUUCUUU